rnacentral:rRNA from 1 species
AUUUAACUCUUUCUUCAUUCCUAACACAUUCAAUUCUAACUAUUGGCGGACGGUUUAGUAAUGUCUUUGAAACUGCCUGAUGGAGGGGGAUAACUACUGGAAACGGUAGCUAAUACCGCAUACCAUCAGAUGUGCCCAGAUGGGAUUAGCUUGUUGGUGGGGUAACGGCUCACCAAGGCGACGAUCCCUAGCUGGUCUGAGAGGAUGACCAGCAACACUGGAACUGAGACACGGUCCAGACUCCUACGGGAGGCAGCAGUGGGGAAUAUUGCACAAUGGGCGAAAGCCUGAUUCAGCCAUGCCGCGGGGAUGAAGAAGGCCUGCGGGUUGUAAAGUACUUUCAGCGGGGAGGCGUUACCCGCAGAAGAAGCACCGGCUAACUCCGUGCCAGCAGCCGCGGUAAUUC